CACCAGAGUCUGCUUAGUCUCCCGGUCCCUCCGACCUAGCGAACGAAAUGUACACCCUAGAUACGCAAGUCUAGACAAGACACCGGUGUCCGACUUGGGCUAUAUACAUUCAACCAAGACCCAGCCUGACUCCAUACCGAGAUUAGACGGGCUGACUACAGGGCGUCUAAUUAGAGCGGUGCGCCUUCGCUCCUUCCAUCCACUGGAGGGGGCCAAUUCCAUACACAAUUCCAAUUCAAACUCCUUAUGGGCCUACCGCGCAAUCGGUAUCCAAUACCCCUAGUGGGUCCACCGUCUAAAACAGUAGUCUUACCUCCUCGUUCCUGAACCUGAGUUCACACUCAUCGACGGGGACACCACAGCACUUACUACGUAGAGGCCGAUGAUCUCCUGGACAACAGACCAGUGGCGCCGAGACGAAGGGAGGGCCACGCAGAAGUUCAGGGGUGCAGCCGUAGAGAACGUGGGCAAAGAUAGACCGUCUCACACCUCUGCUUCCUAGCCACUGUUAACGACGAGCUUCCCGGCCAAUGCACCAAAGAUGUUACCGGGAAACUGACGGAGGCCAAGCACAGAGAGAUGGACACAGGUUUCUUCAGGAAGGAAGAGAUCUUUAUUCGAUUCACC